UGGAGUUGUGUAGGCAUGGGAGGGGGCAGUGGGGUUAGAAGAGAGGGUGGGAGGAAUUUGGAAUGUGCAAGGCUGCGCUGGCCAGAGAAUGAGGCAACUUUC